UACGGAGGGUGCAAGCGUUGCUCGGAAUUAUUGGGCGUAAAGGGUAGGUAGGUGGUCUCAUUUGUCUGGGGUGAAAGCCUUGAGCUUAACUCAAGAAGUGCCCCAGAAACGGUGAGACUAGAGUCCUGGAGAGGGUCGUGGAAUUCCCGGUGUAGCGGUGAAAUGCGUAGAGAUCGGGAGGAACACCAGAGGCGAAGGCGGCGACCUGGACAGGAACUGACACUCAACUACGAAAGCGUGGGGAGCAAAACAGG
rnacentral:rRNA from 1 species